rnacentral:rRNA from 1 species
UAACAAGGAUUCCCCUAGUAACUGCGAGUGAAGCGGGAAGAGCUCAAAUUUAAAAUCUGGCAGCUUUGCUGUCCGAGUUGUAAUCUGGAGAAGCAUUUUCCGCGUUGGACCGUGUACAAGUCUCUUGGAAUAGAGCAUCAUAGAGGGUGAGAAUCCCGUCCAUGGCACGGACUACCAAUGCUUUGUGAUAUGCUAUCGAAGAGUCGAGUUGUUUGGGAAUGCAGCUCAAAAUGGGUGGUAAGUUCCAUCUAAAGCUAAAUAUUGGCGAGAGACCGAUAGCGAACAAGUACCGUGAGGGAAAGAUGAAAAGCACUUUGGAAAGAGAGUUAAACAGUACGUGAAAUUGUUGAAAGGGAAACGCUUGAAGUCAGUCGCGUUGUCUGAGACUCAGCCUUGCUAUUGCCUGGUGUACUUCUCAGUUAACGGGUCAACAUCAGUUUUGGUUGGUGGACAAAGGUGGAAGGAAUGUGGCAUCUUCGGAUGUGUUAUAGCCUUCUAUCGUAUACACUGGCUGGGAUUGAGGUCUGCAGCACGCCUUUAUGGCCGGGGUUCGCCCACGUUACGUGCUUAGGAUGUUGGCAUAAUGGCUUUAAGCGACCCGUCUUGAAACACGGACCAAGGAGUCUAACAUGCUUGCGAGUAUUAGAGUGGAAAACUCUUAUGCGCAAUGAAAGUGAAAGUUGGGACUCUUCAUCGAGGCACCGACGCCCGGCCCUGAAGUUUACUGACGGUGCUGCGGUAGAGCACGUAUGUUGGGACCCGAAAGAUGGUGAACUAUGCCUGAAUAGGGUGAAGCCAGGGGAAACUCUGGUGGAGGCUCGUAGCGAUUCUGACGUGCAAAUCGAUCGUCAAAUUUGGG